rnacentral:misc_RNA from 1 species
AAAAAAAAAAGAAAAAAAAAAUUCAAACCAAACUUAACAGUGUAAUGGAUCAAAAUCGCAAAUUCACCAUAGAUAUAACAAGAAAAGCAUUCUAUGAUUCUAAUAUUAUCUCUACACAAAAUAACAAUAGAAGAAAAGGCAAGGGAAAAAGAAGUAAAGAUAUAGACCACCAUAUAACAAGUUUUGAAAUUUUAUAGCCUUAGCACUUGUGACUACAGAGAUCCCAUUACAAAAUGGAGUCUAACAGUUCUUCAAAAUUUAGUUGCCUAAUGCCAUUUUAUCACUUCUAUGAACAACCCAUGUAAAACCUUCAUAAUCUUAACAUCCGCUCAAUGCGCCAGGCCUUAUUAGUAUGUGGGGUCCAAAAUAGAAAAGCUUAACUCCAAAACCACAACUUACUUAUCUUGAAAUUAAGAUGCCAAGACUUGAACUGAGGACCAUUUAAGCAAUCAGAAGAAAGGACAAAUAAUGUAUCAAGCCUUCAUGCUCUUAACAAUUUUCACAAAUAUCAUUUCAAACAGUGAUUAUGCAAUUGAAUAAAUCAAAGAAAGACCAUAUGCAGUAUGCCAAAAAUAUUUGGAGUUUCGACAGUAAAACAAAUAC